UUGGGCCUUUUCAUUUAUUGAACCUGCUUUUAAAUGAUGAACCCUUACGGACCCCAAGGUCCUCUGGUACCGGCCUUUUAUUUUUUCCUAAA